UACAGAGGUCUCAAGCGUUGUUCGGAUUCAUUGGGCGUAAAGGGUGUGUAGGUGGCGCCGUAAGUCAGGUGUGAAAUCUCGGGGCUUAACUCCGAAACUGCAUUUGAUACUGGCGUGCUUGAGGACUGGAGAGGAGACUGGAAUUCAUGGUGUAGCAGUGAAAUGCGUAGAGAUCAUGAGGAAGACCAGUGGCGAAGGCGGGUCUCUGGACAGUUCCUGACACUGAGACACGAAGGCCAGGGGAGCAAACGGG
rnacentral:rRNA from 1 species